rnacentral:rRNA from 1 species
GAUGAACGCUGGCGGCGUGCCUAAUACAUGCAAGUCGAGCGAACAGACGAGGAGCUUGCUCCUUUGACGUUAGCGGCGGACGGGUGAGUAACACGUGGAUAACCUACCUAUAAGACUGGGAUGACUUCGGGAAACCGGAGCUAAUACCGGAUAACAUGUUGAACCGCAUGGUUCAACAGUGAAAGACGGUCUUGCUGUCACUUAUAGAUGGAUCCGCGCCGCAUUAGCUAGUUGGUAAGGUAACGGCUUACCAAGGCAACGAUGCGUAGCCGACCUGAGAGGGUGAUCGGCCACACUGGAACUGAGACACGGUCCAGACUCCUACGGGAGGCAGCAGUAGGGAAUCUUCCGCAAUGGGCGAAAGCCUGACGGAGCAACGCCGCGUGAGUGAAGAAGGUCUUCGGAUCGUAAAACUCUGUUAUUAGGGAAGAACAAAUGUGUAAGUAACUAUGCACGUCUUGACGGUACCUAGUCAGAAAGCCACGGCUAACUACGUG